ACGCUCGACACCUACGGAGGCAGCAGUGGGGAAUAUUGCACAAUGGGGGAAACCCUGAUGCAGCGACGCCGCGUGAGCGAAGAAGUAUUUCGGUAUGUAAAGCUCUAUCAGCAGGGAGAAACUGACGGUACCUGACUAAGAAGCACCGGCUAAAUACGUGCCAGUAGCCGCGGUAAUCUGAGCGGGCUGGCAAGGC
rnacentral:rRNA from 1 species